rnacentral:rRNA from 1 species
UGGGGAAUAUUGCACAAUGGGCGCAAGCCUGAUGCAGCCAUGCCGCGUGUGUGAAGAAGGCCUUCGGGUUGUAAAGCACUUUCAGCGAGGAGGAAGGUGGUGAACUUAAUACGUUCAUCAAUUGACGUUACUCGCAGAAGAAGCACCGGCUAACUCCGUGCCAGCAGCCGCGGUAAUACGGAGGGUGCAAGCGUUAAUCGGAAUUACUGGGCGUAAAGCGCACGCAGGCGGUUUGUUAAGUCAGAUGUGAAAUCCCCGGGCUCAACCUGGGAACUGCAUUUGAAACUGGCAAGCUAGAGUCUCGUAGAGGGGGGUAGAAUUCCAGGUGUAGCGGUGAAAUGCGUAGAGAUCUGGAGGAAUACCGGUGGCGAAGGCGGCCCCCUGGACGAAGACUGACGCUCAGGUGCGAAAGCGUGGGGAGCAAAACAGGAUUAGAUACCCUGGUAGUCCACGCUGUAAACGAUGUCGAUUUUGGAGGUUGUGCCCUUGAGGCGUGGCUUCCGGAGCUAACGCGUUAAAUCGACCGCCUGGGGAGUACGGCCGC